rnacentral:lncRNA from 1 species
GCGUUUGCUAACUUUGUGGAUCGAUUCAAGAAACGUAUUGAAGGAUGGAGUUUGCGCUACUUGUCUAUAGGGGAAAGGAGGUUUUUAUUAAAUCGGUUUUACAAGCUACACCAAUUUAUGCUAUGCAAUAUUUUCUUAUGCCGAAAUCGCUAUGUCGAAAGCUUGAAGGCAUUAUGAACAGAUUUUGGUGGACAAACAACAAGUCAUUGAAGGGCAUUCACUGGAGUAAUUGGGAACCGUUAUGCAAGCCAAAGUGCCUUGGGGGUUAGGUUUUAAAAAUAUGUUCCUUUUUAAUAAAGCCUAAUUAGCGAAACAGGUUUGGCGUAUCUUAGAUUAACCUCAUUGUUUGCUAGCUAGAGUUUUUAAAGCCCGGUAUUUUCCUAAGUCUGAUGUUUUAUCAGUGAAAAUUGGAGCUUACCCAUCAUUUACCUGGAGAAGUAUUUGCAGUGCUCGUGAGGUGAUCGGAUAAGGGGUUUUGUGGCGGGUUGGCAAGGGAGACCACAUUAACAUCUGGAACAAUCCUUGGCUACCUGGUAUAGAGAACAACCAUAUUCCAACACAGGAGAUUAGGCCUUCAUGGUCUAAUGUUAAUCUAUUAAUUAUAACAGGAACGUGUACCUGGAAUAGAGAGAUGAUUCAUAAGAUAGUUGAUGAGAGUACAGCGGAUCGAAUACUUGCUAUUCCCAUAUCUGAAAGUAGACCGGAGGAUAGGUUGGUCUGGAAACAUAAAGGUUCUAGGGAGUAUACGGUCAAGAGUGGGUAUCGAGUACUGAUUGCAGAUCACUUACGGGUUACUAAUUACAUGCCCCUAUUGACGUGGUUUACACAGAUUUUUACAAUGCUUUAUGGUUAUUAAGUAUUCCAGAAAAAAAUAAAAUACUUAUUUGGAGACUAGUUAAUAAUCUGGUGCCGCAUUUCGGUAAUUUGGCGAGGAGGACUUUGUGUGGAAGCAUCUUGUCCACUGUGCAAGAAUGGGCUGGAAGAUUCUGAUCACCUGAUGUGGUCUUAUGAUACUCUGCAACAGGUAUGGGCGUCGCUACCAGUAAAGAUCCCGUCUUUCGAAGAGUCGAUGCGUAACAAGCUUCGCUUUGCUAAUAUGUUUUCUGCAGCAGACGACCAACAAAAAAGAUUCAUUGUAAUAUCCAUGUGGAACCUUUGGUUUCAUAGAAAUAAACUGGUUCAUGAAGGAGUUAAAUUUUCGAUGCAGGCGGUGUUAGGGUUUAUUGGGGGUUAUGAACAAGAUAUUUGCCGUUGUCACAUGCUACUCUAUCCUGCUCCUAGAGCUAUGGUUAAAGGGAUCUGGAGACCCCCAGACCAGGGAGUUAUCAAAUUAAAUUUUGACGCAUCUUUUGUAAAAAAUGAGAAGACCGCUACAAUAGCAGUUCUUGCCAGAAAUGCUACAGGUGAAAUUAUAGGAGCAGAAACUUAUCUUUUUAAAGAUAUCGUUGACGCGUUCGUGGCUAAAGCAAGGGCUUGUGAAAGGGCAUUAAUUUUUGCGAGCAAGAUGUGCCUUCGACGAUUGAUUGUGGAAGGCGAUUCCUUGACAGUUAUAAAAAACAUUCAAAAGAAAGAGAAAGAUAAAUCAGUGCUUAGACCGAUUAUUCAUCACAUCUACAACCUGGGUAUGUGCUUUGAAGCGGUAUCUUACCUUGCUGUCCCCUGAGUGGCUAAUGAGGCGGCUUACACACUGGCGAUGUAGGGCAGGAAACGAAAGGUCUGAGGGAGUUGGGUCCAUGGAGUGCCUGAUUCGGAAUGGCGAUAUUGAAGGAUUGUUCGGCUUGGUUCCAGAGGAGCUGAGUUCAUUUACUUUGGAAAUGGAAGACGAUCAUCCAAAGUUUUUUCUCUCAUUGUACAUGGUUCGGAAUUCAAAGGGUAAGGAGAGUUUGGCUGAUAUUGGGGCUGGAGUUCUGCUGGUUUUGGCUCAAGGUUUUCUUUUUCUGCUUUUUAGUUUUGAAAAGUUUUACGCUUUGUCUUUUGGUUGCUUACAGCUGUUUUGCUUUUGUCUUUCUGUUUGC